rnacentral:rRNA from 1 species
AGCGAACGCUGGCGGCAGGCCUAACACAUGCAAGUCGAACGAAGUCUUCGGACUUAGUGGCGGACGGGUGAGUAACACGUGGGAACGUACCUUUUGGUUCGGAACAACUCAGGGAAACUUGAGCUAAUACCGGAUGAGCCCUUAGGGGGAAAGAUUUAUCGCCGAAAGAGCGGCCCGCGUUAGAUUAGCUAGUUGGUGAGGUAAGGGCUCACCAAGGCUACGAUCUAUAGCUGGUCUGAGAGGAUGAUCAGCCACACUGGGACUGUGACACGGCCCAGACUCCUACGGGAGGCAGCAGUGGGGAAUCUUGCGCAAUGGGCGAAAGCCUGACGCAGCCAUGACGAGUAAAUGAUGAAGGUCUUAGGAUUGUAAAAUUCUUUUACCAGGGACGAUAAUGACGGUACCUGGAGAAAAAGCCCCGGCUAACUUCGUGCCAGCCGCCGCCGUAACAC